AUAUAGUAUUUGGUGGGUCAUGCGCGCACUACAACAAAAUUAGAUUUUAAGAACAUAUGUUUGGGACACUUUUGUGUAAGUGUCUCAUUUAUAUCAAAACUUAAAAAAAAAUCUACUAAUGUCUAAAUAUAAAGUUCAAUUCAAUCAAAAAUAAAAGGUUACUCUACUCAACCUAUCCUACCCAGCCCAUUCGGCCCGAUUACAAACAGAAAAAAAAAAUGAAAAAUCGAUUAUCAUCUCUCCUUCUCCCCCACUCAAUCCACUAAAAUUCUAGACGAAGAGCCAUUCCCUUUCGUCCUCCUCCGCUACCGCAGUCAACGAGAUAAAAUUUCGACGGUUGCUAAAUGUUUAAACAAGUGUUGAUAAAUUAGCAGCACUGUUUUUAUGUUAUAGCGACAUUUUUAACUGUCACUAUAUAUCUAGCAACCCCACAUAUAGCAAUACUUUUUAAAAGUGUCGGUAAUUUUAGCUAGCAGUAUUUUUUUGACAUGUACCUAUAUUUAAAAGUGUCGCUAUAAACCGUUUUUGUUGUAGUGCGU
rnacentral:lncRNA from 1 species